UACGUAGGGAGCAAGCGUUGUCCGGAAUCAUUGGGCGUAAAGCGCGCGUAGGUGGCUUCGUAAGUCCGUUGUGAAAGUCAAAGGCUCAACCUUUGAAAGCCGAUGGAUACUGUGAAGCUAGAGUACGGAAGAGGCGAGUGGAAUUCCUGGUGUAGCGGUGGAAUGCGCAGAUAUCAGGAGGAACACCAAUAGCGAAGGCAGCUCGCUGGGACGUUACUGACACUGAGGCGCGAAGCGUGGGGAGCGAACAGGA
rnacentral:rRNA from 1 species